CAGUAGCCGCGGGAAUACGGAGGGUGCAAGCGUUACUCAGAAUUACUGGGCGUAAAGCGUGCGUAGGUGGUGGUUUAAGUCCGUUGUGAAAGCCCUGGGCUCAACCUGGGAAUUGCAGUGGAUACUGGGUCACUAGAGUGUGGUAGAGGAUAGUGGAAUUUCCGGUGUAGCAGUGAAAUGCGUAGAGAUCGGAAGGAACAUCUGUGGCGAAGGCGACUAUCUGGGCCAACACUGACACUGAGGCACGAAAGCGUGGGGAGCAAACAGGAUUAGAUACCCCCGUAGUCCCUGUCUCUUAUAC
rnacentral:rRNA from 1 species